rnacentral:rRNA from 1 species
UGGGGAAUAUUGGACAAUGGGGGCAACCCUGAUCCAGCCAUGCCGCGUGAGUGAUGAAGGCCUUCGGGUUGUAAAGCUCUUUUGGCGGGGACGAUGAUGACGGUACCCGCAGAAUAAGCCCCGGCUAACUUCGUGCCAGCAGCCGCGGUAAGACGAAGGGGGCUAGCGUUGUUCGGAAUUACUGGGCGUAAAGCGAGUGUAGGCGGUUGCCGUAGUCAGGUGUGAAAGCCUUGAGCUCAACUCAAGAAAUGCACUUGAUACUGGGUGACUAGAGGACCGGAGAGGAUAGUGGAAUUCCCAGUGUAGUGGUGAAAUACGUAGAGAUUGGGAAGAACACCAGUGGCGAAGGCGGCUAUCUGGACGGUUACUGACGCUAAGACUCGAAAGCGUGGGGAGCAAACA